CACAAGGCCCACCUGUCUCUGCCUCUGAAGAGAGAUCACUGAUGGCUAGGGUGGACUCCCUCUGCUGUUUGAUUCAGAAAGACACAGUGCCAGUUGCCAAGCCAAAGCCUGAGCCAAAUGACAGUGGCGGCAUUGGCGUGGAUGCCUCAGAUGGUUCUGAUGAAGAAUUCAGUUCAGCACCAACAGGGAAAACUACAGAUGCUGCCGAGCUGCCAGCCAUGUCGAGAAAGGACUCUUUUGGGGAGCUCCUGACGAACCUCCCCCGCAUCGCUUCACUACCGCAGUUCCUUUUCAAGAUACCAGAGGAUACUGAGAACUGAAACCUGGAAGUCAAGACCUGGCUCCGCAUUCCCUGAAGUAGGGAGGUCACUGUAAAGAUUGUACCCCAGCAAUAAGAAAAGCCCCCUUAGCCAGGUCUUGACUGAGAACUGAAACCUGGAAGUCAAGACCUGACUCCGCAUUCCCUGAAGUAGGGAGGUCACUGUAAAGAUUGUACCCAAGCAAUAAGAAAAGCCACCGUAGCUCUCCUCCUUCAGAGGUGAGUUCCCCGCCCUGUAAAUGUGACACCCGGUAGGUUGCUCCAAUUGUCUGUAUGUUUC
rnacentral:lncRNA from 1 species